rnacentral:lncRNA from 1 species
CUCAAGGACAACAAAGGGUUAAACUGUCAACCCAGGAAGAGUGGUCCACAUUAUGUCUCAACCUUAAAUAUCCUAUGACUCCUCACUAGGAUUAGUUUGGCCAAAAUUUUGCUAAAUUGAAACACAGUGAUGCAUCAUCUCCAAUUCUACUUGGAGUAGUCAAUCCCAUCUUGACUCGCACUCAGACUUCACAAGUACUUGACUGUACCCAAAAAUCUUCUAUCAUCGAAUUAAAAAUUUAGAUAGUCCGACACCAAAGCAUAGUGAGUUGCUUGUAAGUUACCAAAGCAGCCUUAGGUCAGAGGGACACAUAUACCCAUAUCCCAUCAGAGCAACUCUUGACAGCAGUGCUCCGAAAGUGAUCACGCUCAGUAAAAUAUACUCCUACAUAUCACCCACAUGCCAUAACCGUAUCACCACACAUCUUGGUUAAGAGGACAACCAACUACUAUGACAUACAACAACCUACACUUGAUACAAUUAUCAUUCUUAUAAUAAUUGUAUCAUUUGGUCACGAGCAGAAUUUAAGAACUACAUGAUAAAUCUUUCUUUAUUGUUUUGGAAGUAGCUCUAAAGACUUCAUCAUAAUAUAUGAGUUCUAUUUAGGAAGAUAUAUUUCUUAUGAUAAAUUUUAUCAGAUAAUAUUUAUCAUUUUAUAAUUCAUAUACAUGUAUGGAGCACAAUCAUCUACAACCUAAAUGAUUGACUUUAGGACACAUUCUCUAACAUAUGGCAUACAGAUGAGAUAUAGAAGUACAUCGUCACUAAAUAGUGACUCAGCUAUGGAAUGCUCUACUAUCAAGAGUAGCUCACGAUGGAUAUGGACAUAAGUGUCCCUCCAACCCAAGAUCUGUUAGAAAAUAUAUCAUCAAGCUAAUUAUUUGGACGAUUGUGCUCUUUGUAAUAUAUAUAUGAAUUAUGAAUUAAUAAAAAUUAUUUGUUAUAUUCAUCACAAGAUUAUAUCUUUCUUGAUAGAACUCUAAUGUUAUGAUGAAGUCCUUAGAACUAUGUGACAAUUGAUAAAGAAA